GAUGAACGCUAGCGGCAGGCCUAAUACAUGCAAGUCGAACGAGAUUAAGAGGCUUGCUUCUUAUGAAAGUGGCGCACGGGUGCGUAACGCGUAUGCAACCUACCUUAAUCAGGGGGAUAGCCCGAAGAAAUUCGGAUUAAGACCGCAUAAAAACACAGGAUAGCAUUAUCCAAUGUUCAAAUAUUUAUAGGAUUAAGAUGGGCAUGCGUGUCAUUAGCUAGUUGGCGGGGUAACGGCCCACCAAGGCGACGAUGACUAGGGGAUCUGAGAGGAUGACCCCCCGAACUGGUACUGAGACACGGACCAGACUACUACGGGAGGCAGCAGUAAGGAAUAUUGGUCAAUGGAGGGAACUCUGAACCAGCCAUGCCGCGUGCAGGAAGACAGCCCUCUGGGUCGUAAACUGCUGUUAUUCGGGAAUAAACCUUUCUACGUGUAGGAAGCUGAAUGUACCGAAGGAAUAAGGAUCGGCUAACUCCGUG
rnacentral:rRNA from 1 species